rnacentral:rRNA from 1 species
GUGGGGAAUAUUGGGCAAUGGGGGAAACCCUGACCCAGCAACGCCGCGUGAGGGAAGAAGGUUUUCGGAUUGUAAACCUCUGUCCUUGGUGACGAAGGAAGUGACGGUAGCCAAGGAGGAAGCCCCGGCUAACUACGUGCCAGCAGCCGCGGUAAUACGUAGGGGGCAAGCGUUGUCCGGAAUGACUGGGCGUAAAGGGCGUGUAGGCGGCCGAUUAAGUCUGGAGUGAAAGUCCUGCUUUCAAGGUGGGAAUUGCUUUGGAGGCUGGUUGGCUUGAGUGCGGAAGAGGUAAGUGGAAUUCCCAGUGUAGCGGUGAAAUGCGUAGAGAUUGGGAGGAACACCAGUGGCGAAGGCGACUUACUGGGCCGUAACUGACGCUGAGGCGCGAAAGCGUGGGGAGCGAACAGGAUUAGAAACCCUGGUAGUCC